UACGGAGGGUGCGAGCGUUGUCCGGAAUCAUUGGGCGUAAAGGGCGCGUAGGCGGCCGUCCCAAGCGUGCGGUGAAAGUCAGGGGCUCAACCCCUGAUCGGCCGUGCGAACUGGGGGGCUCGAGCACUGUAGAGGCAGGCGGAAUUCCGGGUGUAGCGGUGGAAUGCGUAGAUAUCAGGAGGAACACCGGUGGCGAAGGCGGAUCUCUGGGCCAUUACUGACGCUGAGGAGCGAAAGCGUGGGGAGCGAACAGG
rnacentral:rRNA from 1 species